AACAUUUUCUAAGAAGUCCCAAUCAAUAGUGUCAUAAGCCUUAUGGAAAUCCACCUUGACCGCACACUUAGGUAAGUAUGGCCGGAGAUGAAACCUCGCAAACAAUUCCUGAGCAAGGAGAAUAUUAUCCCUAAUUCUCCUACCUUUUACAAAAGCAUUUUGAGAUUGACUCACAAUAUCAUUUAAGACCAUCGCUAUUCGGUUAGCUAAAAUCUUUG
rnacentral:lncRNA from 1 species